rnacentral:rRNA from 1 species
AAACCAACAGGGAUUACCUCAGUAACGGCGAGUGAAGCGGUAACAGCUCAAAUUUGAAAUCUGGGUCUUUCAGGCUCCGAGUUGUAAUUUGUAGAAGAUGCUUCGGGUGCGGCUCCGGUCUAAGUUCCUUGGAACAGGACGUCAUAGAGGGUGAGAAUCCCGUAUGUGAUCGGUUGCCUGCGCCCAUGUGAAGCUCUUUCGACGAGUCGAGUUGUUUGGGAAUGCAGCUCAAAAUGGGUGGUAAAUUUCAUCUAAAGCUAAAUAUUGGCCAGAGACCGAUAGCGCACAAGUAGAGUGAUCGAAAGAUGAAAAGCACUUUGGAAAGAGAGUUAAACAGUACGUGAAAUUGUUGAAAGGGAAGCGCUUGCAACCAGACUUGCGCGUUGCCGAUCAUCCGGGGUUCUCCCCGGUGCACUCGGCCUCGCUCAGGCCAGCAUCGGUUUUGGUGGUGGGAUAAAGGCCUUGGGAAUGUAGCUCCUUUCGGGGAGUGUUAUAGCCCUCGGUGCAAUGCCGCCUACCGGGACCGAGGACCGCGCUUCGGCUAGGAUGCUGGCGUAAUGGUUGUAAGCGAC